AGUGAACGCUGGCGGUAGGCCUAACACAUGCAAGUCGAACGGCAGCACAGUAAGAGCUUGCUCUUACGGGUGGCGAGUGGCGGACGGGUGAGGAAUACGUCGGAAUCUACUUUUUCGUGGGGGAUAACGUAGGGAAACUUACGCUAAUACCGCAUACGACCUACGGGUGAAAGCAGGGGAUCUUCCGACCUUGCGCGAUUGAAUGAGCCGAUGUCGGAUUAGAUAGUUGGCGGGAUAAAGGCCAACCAAGGCGAUGGUCCGUAGCUGGUCUGAGAGGGUGAUCAGCCGCACUGGAACUGAGACACAGUCCAGACUCCUGCGGGAGGCAGCAGUGGGGAAUAUUGGACAAUGGGCGCAAGCCUGAUCCAGCCAUACCGCGUGAGUGAAGAAGGCCUUCGGGUUGUAAAGCCCUUUUGUUGGGAAAGAAAAGCAGCAGGUUAAUACCCCGCUGUUCUGACGGUACCCAAAGAAUAAGCACCGGCUAACUUCGUG
rnacentral:rRNA from 1 species